UCGCUUGUGAUUUAAAUUUUAAAUUAUUUUUAUAAAAAAUGAAACAUAAAAAUCACGCUAAUAUAUUGUUAUACAAAGCGUGUAAGUAUAAUAUUGUAUGCACGUUUUCAUUGUAUAAUAGUGUUCGGAAACAGUGUAUUUUAAAAUGGAUUUACGUUCAUCAUGAUAGAAAUUAUUAACAAUAUUAUUACGAUGUGAUUUAAUUUUCAAAGGGAUGAAUUAUAAAUUAUUCUGUGGUACCUAGUACGUGUAUGUUUUAAGUACUCGUAAAACCAAGCUUCUACAUCACCACUCACCACUAAAUACAAAUCGACUUAUUAGAACGCAAUCACUAGAAUAUUAUGGAAAAAUAUCAGAAAAACAUCUGCAGUCAAGUACAUUAGAAUAAUAUAAUAUUCUAAUAUGUAACGUUCAAGUUAAAAAAUCGAUCAUUUUAUACAGUUCUAUGACUGGUGAGGAAAAUGUACUCGUUUGUUGUACUGUAACAGCGAUUGCUUUUCCAAACACGGGACUACUUAUCAGUAUAAUUAUAACCGUUUAAAAAUUUUAAGAAACUGCAACAGCUGGAAGUCAUUGUGGAUUAACUUCGACAUCAAAGUUCGAAAAUUUUUGUGAGUUCUACGUAAAACUUUAUACCGAGAAAUAUUUUUUUAUCGAUUGUCAUUU